rnacentral:rRNA from 1 species
UACGUAGGGUGCAAGCGUUGUCCGGAAUUAUUGGGCGUAAAGAGCUUGUAGGCGGUUUGUCGCGUCUGCUGUGAAAUUUCGGGGCUCAACCCCGAACUUGCAGUGGGUACGGGCAGACUAGAGUGUGGUAGGGGAGACUGGAAUUCCUGGUGUAGCGGUGAAAUGCGCAGAUAUCAGGAGGAACACCAGUGGCGAAGGCGCCGCUCUGGGCCGUAACUGACGCUGAGGAGCGAAAGCAUGGGGAGCGAACAGG